rnacentral:rRNA from 1 species
GUCUAUGGCCAUGCCACCCUGAACAAGCCCGAUGUCUGAUCUUGGAAGCUAAGCAGGGUUGGGCCUGAUUAGUACUUGGAUGGGAGACCACCUAGGAAGACCAGGUGCUGUAGGCA